CCUACGGGAGGCAGCAGUAAGGAAUAUUGGUCAAUGGACGAAAGUCUGAACCAGCCAUGCCGCGUGAAGGAUGACGGCCCUCUGGGUUGUAAACUUCUUUUAUCUGGGACGAAAAAAGGGAAUUCUUUCUCACUUGACGGUACCAGAGGAAUAAGCACCGGCUAACUCCGUGCCAGCAGCCGCGGUAAUACGGAGGGUGCAAGCGUUAUCCGGAUUCACUGGGUUUAAAGGGAGCGUAGGUGGGCAGGUAAGUCAGUGGUGAAAUCUCCGGGCUUAACCCGGAAACUGCCAUUGAUACUAUUUGUCUUGAAUUAUCUGGAGGUAAGCGGAAUAUGUCAUGUAGCGGUGAAAUGCUUAGAUAUGACAUAGAACACCCAUUGCGAAGGCAGCUUACUACGGAUAUAUUGACACUGAGGCUCGAAAGCGUGGGGAUCAAACAGGAUUAGAUACCCUGGUAGUCCACGCCCUAAACGAUGGAUACUCGACAUCAGCGAUACACUGUUGGUGUCUGAGCGAAAGCAUUAAGUAUCCCACCUGGAAGUACGACCGCAAGGUUGAAACUCAAAGGAAUUGACGG
rnacentral:rRNA from 1 species